GAAGCAGCCAUCAUUUAAAGAAAGCGUAAUAGCUCACUGGUCGAGUCGGCCUGCGCGGAAGAUGUAACGGGGCUAAACCAUGCACCGAAGCUGCGGCAGCGACACUAUGUGUUGUUGGGUAGGGGAGCGUUCUGUAAGCCUGUGAAGGUGUGCUGUGAGGCAUGCUGGAGGUAUCAGAAGUGCGAAUGCUGACAUAAGUAACGAUAAAGCGGGUGAAAAGCCCGCUCGCCGGAAGACCAAGGGUUC
rnacentral:rRNA from 1 species